rnacentral:rRNA from 1 species
GACGAACGCUGGCGGCGUGCUUAACACAUGCAAGUCGAACGGAAAGGCCCUGCUUUUGUGGGGUGCUCGAGUGGCGAACGGGUGUGUAACACGUGAGUAACCUGCCCUUGACUUUGGGAUAACUUCAGGAAACUGGGUCUAAUACCGGAUAGGAGCUCCUGCUGCUUGUUGUGGGUUGGAUAGUUUCGGCGGUUGGGGCUGGACUCGCGGGUUAUCAGCUUGUUGGUGGGGUAGUGGCUUACCAAGGCUUUGACGGGUAGCCGGCCUGAGAGGGUGACCGGCAAAAAGGGGACGGAGAUACGGACCAGAAGCCAACGGGAGGCAGCAGUGGGGAAUAUUGCACAAUGGGCGGAAGCCUGAUGCAGCAAGGCGGCGAGCGGGAUGACGGCCUUCGGGUUGAAAACCGCUUUCGAAUGUGACGAAGCGUGAGUGACGGUAAUGGGUAAAGAAGCACCGGCUAACUACGUG